rnacentral:rRNA from 1 species
CUGGGUAGCUAUGUAUGGAAGGGAUAACCGCUGAAUGCAUCUAAGCGGGAAACCCACUUCAAAACUAGUUUUCCCAAUUAGUGCCGUGAAAGACUAUCACGUUGAUAGGCUGGAUGUGUAAGCAGAGCAAUCUGUGUAGCUAACCAGUACUAAUAGCACGAUUGAUUUAAUGUU